GAUGAACGCUGGCGGCGUGCCUAAUACAUGCAAGUCGAGCGAACAGACGAGGAGCUUGCUCCUCUGACGUUAGCGGCGGACGGGUGAGUAACACGUGGAUAACCUACCUAUAAGACUGGGAUAACUUCGGGAAACCGGAGCUAAUACCGGAUAAUAUAUUGAACCGCAUGGUUCAAUAGUGAAAGACGGUUUUGCUGUCACUUAUAGAUGGAUCCGCGCCGCAUUAGCUAGUUGGUAAGGUAACGGCUUACCAAGGCAACGAUGCGUAGCCGACCUGAGAGGGUGAUCGGCCACACUGGAACUGAGACACGGUCCAGACUCCUACGGGAGGCAGCAGUAGGGAAUCGUCCGCAAUGGGCGAAAGCUUGACGGAGCAACGCCGCGUGAGUGAUGAAGGUCUUCGGAUCGUAAAACUCUGUUAUGAGGGAAGAACAAAUGUGUAAGUAACUAUGCACGUCUUGACGGUACCUAAUCAGAAAGCCACGGCUAACUACGUG
rnacentral:rRNA from 1 species